GUUGUUUGCUUUAAUAUUCCACUCCUCUAAUCACCUCUUGUGUGUGUCCACUUUGGUUGAGAGGGUUGUCUCAAUAGUACCAAAGUGUGAGCGAAGGUUUGUGAGCUCAACCAUAAAGCUCUAGUUUGGUUUUAUAGAGUUUCCGGGCAAACUCUUAGGUUGAGUCUACCUUUAAAGAUUUCAGAGGUUUUUAAGAGUUCCUUGAUACUCUAAGGUACUAACUUACCCGUAAAAGUUAGAGGUUCUUAAGAGUGCCCUUGAUACUCUAAGGUGUGAGUCUACCCGUAAAAGACUGGUUCCUAAGCGAAGUAGCCUUAAAGCUUAGAGAGGUUUUUAAGAGUUCCUUGAUACUCUAAGGUACUAACUUACUCGUAAAAGUUAGAGGUUCUUAAGAGUGCCCUUGAUACUCUAAGGUGUGAGUCUACCCGUAAAAGACUGGUUCCUAAGCGAAGUAGCCUUAAAGCUUAGAGAGGUUCUUAAGAGUUUCCUUGAUACUCUAAGGUUUUGCCAUUACCUUUAGGCGAGUGAAUUCUGGCAGUUGGUCGGGACUGGACUAGCCCUUGUUUGGGUGAACCAGUAUAAAUCUCUUGUGUUGUUCUUUGUUAAUUAUAGUUUUAUCUUUUAUCUAAAAACAACACUUAAUUAAAAAGAUCCCUCUUCCAGUUAUCUGGUCAAAUACAAAGGUUGACUACUUUACGCAAAUCCCUCAUCCAGUUAUCUGGUCAACCAUCUGAUGUUAUAUUCAUU
rnacentral:lncRNA from 1 species